rnacentral:rRNA from 1 species
AUUGAACGCUGGCGGCAUGCUUUACACAUGCAAGUCGAACGGCAGCACGGGUGCUUGCACCUGGUGGCGAGUGGCGAACGGGUGAGUAAUGCAUCGGAACGUGCCCAUGAGUGGGGGAUAGCCCGGCGAAAGCCGGAUUAAUACCGCAUACGCCCUUAGGGGGAAAGCGGGGGAUCUUCGGACCUCGCGCUAUUGGAGCGGCCGAUGUCGGAUUAGCUAGUAGGUGAGGUAAAGGCUCACCUAGGCGACGAUCCGUAGCUGGUCUGAGAGGAUGAUCAGCCACACUGGGACUGAGACAGGCCACGACUCCUACGGGAGGCAGCAGUGGGGAAGUUUUGGUACAAUGGGCGGCAAGACCUGAUCCA